rnacentral:rRNA from 1 species
AGUGAACGCUGGCGGUAGACCUAACACAUGCAAGUCGAACGGCAGCACAGUAAGAGCUUGCUCUUACGGGUGGCGAGUGGCGGACGGGUGAGGAAUACAUCGGAAUCUACUUUUUCGUGGGGGAUAACGUAGGGAAACUUACGCUAAUACCGCAUACGACCUACGGGUGAAAGCAGGGGAUCUUCGGACCUUGCGCGAUUGAAUGAGCCGAUGUCGGAUUAGCUAGUUGGCGGGGUAAAGGCCCACCAAGGCGACGAUCCGUAGCUGGUCUGAGAGGAUGAUCAGCCACACUGGAACUGAGACACGGUCCAGACUCCUACGGGAGGCAGCAGUGGGGAAUAUUGGACAAUGGGCGCAAGCCUGAUCCAGCCAUAUCGCGUGGGUGAAGAAGGCCUUCGGGUUGUAAAGCCCUUUUGUUGGGAAAGAAAAGCAGCAGGUUAAUACCCCGCUGUUCUGACGGUACCCAAAGAAUAAGCACCGGCUAACUUCGUG